AAAUGAAUUGACGGGGGCCCGCACAAGCGGUGGAGCAUGUGGUUUAAUUCGACGCAACGCGAAGAACCUUACCAGGGCUUGACAUCCCUUGACUGCUGUAGAGAUACAGAGUUCAGCUUGCUGACAAGGAGACAGGUGGUGCAUGGCUGUCGUCAGCUCGUGUCGUGAGAUGUUGGGUUAAGUCCCGCAACGAGCGCAACCCUUAUCCUUAGUUGCCAGCACUUCGGGUGGGCACUCUAAGGAGACUGCCACGGACAACGUGGAGGAAGGUGGGGAUGACGUCAAGUCAUCAUGCCCUUUAUGUCCUGGGCUACACACGUGCUACAAUGGUCCGUACAGAGGGAAGCGAAGCCGCGAGGUGAAGCCAAUCCCAGAAAACGGACCCAAGUUCGGAUUGGAGUCUGCAACUCGACUCCAUGAAGUCGGAAUCGCUAGUAACCGCAGAUCAGCAUGCUGCGGUGAAUACGUUCCCGGGCCUUGUACACACCGCCCGU
rnacentral:rRNA from 1 species